GCAGGUAAGAGCUGGGGUUACAAGGUGCUCAGUGGGGAGCUUCUGAGACUCAUUGUCCAGGAGAAGGAAUGUCACAAGGACACAGCAGGAAGGUGGCUGGACUAAACCACGAAGAAGGCCGUCACCAGGAACCAAUUUGGCUGGCACCUUGCUCCUGGAUUUCCCACUUUCCAAACUCAUGAGAAAUAAAUGUCUAUGCUGUAAACCUCCCAGUUUAA